rnacentral:lncRNA from 1 species
CAGAAGUGUCACAAAUCGGAGCCAGACCAGAUGUGUGGUAAAAGAAAAAGAGCGUGAUGGCCUCACAUUGCCUCACAGUCCAUUUCCUCUAGGACAGGACAGCGCACUGCCGGGUUUCUAGGGGCAACAGCCCUCCCCUUGGACGCUUACAAGGGAGAGAGACCAGGCUCCCAAGUGUGGCCUCUCACCCACGUGACAGCAGUUACCUCUGGCGAGAGGAGGGAGCAAGACCGCGGAAGGAACAAAGACAGCCUCAACUUUAUCUGCAAUCUUCUAUUUCCGUUAUAAAAUUAAGGUCUCUGCGAACCUUUUAUGACAAAAUAUUAACAUGAUAUUUGGGGAGGUGAUUUAAUUACUAUACAUUUCUCUGAAUCUUUAAACUUCAUACAGUCCUUCAAAUGUUAACAGUGGCGAAAUUAGUGGCAAUACCUUUUUUCUCCUUUCAUGUAUUUCUCACAUAUCUUCUAAGGAGCAUAUUUUUCUUUUCUGAUAAGAAAACAUCUUUUUAAAGUUUGUGUUGAGGAGUUGCUUAUACACAGGCGCCGUGAGAGAGGUGCUACGUGGAGAGCUGUUUGGACCUGGGCCCUACGCUUUAUAAAGAGAUGACACUGGAAGGCGCAAACUCUGUGAACAGAGUCAUUUGAGGAGCAGAAUAAAAACGUUUAACGCCGUGGCAUAGAAUGAAACUAUAUUGUCUUGAAUUCCAGCUAGGUCAAAGUUACAGGACAGCCUUCGUUUACAUGGGGCCCCGUGAUAGCGUUCGGCCUUCUAUCACUGUGAGUACUGUUGAGAACUCUUCUUUUCUGGGCAUCCCACGGAAAUGAAAGCAGCACUGCCUGAGCCAAAGGGAAGAUACACACCAACCGACACCAGCUCUGGUGGGGGCAGCGGCCUUACGUUAUAAGGGGGACAGCUUAAGGAUUCAGAGAAAAGCUUGUAUGACUUUUUAUCAACAUGAAAAACUAAUCGAAGACAAAAAGCAAAUAAUUAGUAAGACCAAGUGAAGAAUGCGUG